rnacentral:rRNA from 1 species
GACGAACGCUGGCGGCGUGCUUAACACAUGCAAGUCGAACGAAGUGGCGAACGGGUGAGUAACGCGUAAUCAACCUGCCCUUCAGAGGGGGACAACAGUUGGAAACGACUGCUAAUACCGCAUAAUGAAGGAGGGGAUUGCGUCUGAUUAGCUAGUUGGAGGGAUAAAGGCCCACCAAGGCGAUGAUCAGUAGCCGGUCUGAGAGGAUGAACGGCCACAAUGGGACGGAGACACGGGCCAGACUCCUACGGGAGGCAGCAGUGGGGAAUCUGCCGCAAUGGACGAAAGGCUGACGGAGCAACGCCGCGUGAGUGAUGACGGCCUUCGGGUUGUAAAGCUCUGUUAAUCGGGACGCGGUACCGGAAUAGAAAGCCACGGCUAACUACGUGCCAGCAGCCGCGGUAAUAC